CGCAUUUUACAAGGCGAUUUGCCAGAGUUGCCAGAUUAUUUAAUUUGUAUGGACUAUAGAAAAAUAAUUGUCAACUUGGACAUUGUCUUUAAAUUCUUGUCACUGGCCCAAUCUUUUUCUUAAGUUUAAGGAAGCUGCAGAGCUGGACUACAAGUUACAUUCUUCAGCUAAUACGUGCUUUUCUAAUAUUUUCCCCGAGAUAUUACAUUUAGAAAAUACGCAAAGAAACCUUUUAGGAGUAAACAAAACGCACCCGAACUAUUCAUUAUAAAGGAAAGAAUAAAAAAUCCAUAAAUAAUACAUUGUAAUCAAAUAAUAUAAAGUAUUCUGCAGACAUAAUUUUUUUUAAUUAAUAAACUCCUUUUAAUUUACUCACCACAAAUAUUAAAAUGUUCAAGUGCACUUGUUUAAUUAAUAAAGCAUUUUAUAUGCAAUUAUUAAGUGCUAAUCAUUAGGAAGUUUACGUUGUUGAGGCAAAUCACUAGCUCAGACAUUAAAAACCAUUAUAAAAAUAUAGCUACAAGGUCAGUAUCAAAUUACCCUUCCAUAGGACAGCUCAAGGACAGCUUCUAUGUGAUACUAGAAACUUUUUUAAACACCCAAAUCCCUCUCAAAGCACAGAAAACCUCAAGAGCAGUGACAUGAAGGUAGCUUGAAACACAGGUAAGGUCCUUUCCAACAAAGAAAAUAGGUGGUGUCCACAGCAUAUGGUGAUUAUUAGUUUUAAUAGUCUGUGGUAAAUUUUAAAGGUAGAAGUUAAUUUGUCAGGCCUUCGGCUCUGUCUUCCUCCAGCUCUUGGGCUUCCUUUUUCGUUUCCCCGUCCUUCACCUCCUGCCGGGAAACGGGAAAUUUGUCCUUGUUGUUUUCCUUUUUCCAUUUCAUUCUCCUGUUCUGGAACCAGAUUUUUACCUGUCUCUCGGUGAGGGCUAGGGCGUGGGAAACCUCGAUUCUUCUUUUCCUGGUCAGAUAGGGGUUAAAAAGAAAUUCCUUUUCCAACUCUAGAGUUUGGAAGCGACUGUAGGUUUGUCUUCCUCUUCGUCUACCAGGAGCUGCUGAUUAAAACAAAAAAAAAGGGGGGGGGAAUAAAAGUUUUAAAAAUGUUAUGGUACCUCUGCAUGUUGCUGGAGGUUUGUGGAACGGGGGUCUACGGGGUGAAAUAUACACAGAGCUCUUUAGCUCCGAUAUAUAUAUAUAGGGCAGCUGCAGGCGGCCCAUCUUAUGCUAACGAUCCUACUUCCUCCGCCAAGCCUGUGAAAUUACUGCCGAGAGAGCGCGCAGGCCUCAAAGUUACGAAUUUUUCCCAAAGCAGAGAAAGAGAAGGCUCAGCCUAGUUUGUGAGCAGAGAUGAAGAAAAGUUGCCCGAGUCAUGUGGCCCAGUCGAGUGUGAAUCGACAAAAUAUUCCCGAUUUUAGCAGCUCUCUCCAAAGCUGUCUGGCUUUACCCUACCAACCGCCUCCCCACACACUUCCUUUCCCUCUCUGCUCCCGUUUCAAUGUCCAAUAAAUGCAAUGGUUCUCUGUUGUGUGUGUGUGUUUUCCCCUCUCCUGCUCGGCCUUUCUCGUGGGCUCUUUGGGUGACUGAGCCCCGUUUCCUUCGGGAUAGGUACAAUGUCGUGAGGGCGCCAGGCCCACAGCCUUGGAAAUAGACCUCCAAGGCGCCCCUGCUCAAGCUAAACGCACCACGCCGGCUUUCCACACCAAAUGCAAAUUUCCGAAAACCCCAGACGGCCUCAGAGAUGCUGCAGGCUGGCGAGCGAUUUCAGCUACCCCUAGCUCCUUGUGGGUUGGCCCAGCCUGCGAGCGCGAUCCUGACUUGUGUCCGGGUGGACUGAAAUAUCAUUUUUACAAAUGGAGAAAAUGAGAUCGAGAUGGACAGACAUAGCAAGGUGAUAAUGUCCGACUCAAUUAUUUCUACUGGGAAUGACUGAAAGGUAAAGGAAUCGUUAAUGAAUCUGGAGAUGACAGAGGCAUGCUUUAUUUAAUUUUUAAAUUAGUAAGGAGUGCAGACUUGGGGUGGUGGAGAGCAAGGGUUUUUUUGUUGUUGUUGCUGUUUGUUUUUGUGGGGUUUUUUUUCUGCUGGUUAUUGCCAAGUAUAAUGACUUUCUUUAAAUCCGAAGGCGAACGAAUUGAUUCUGACAAUUAAGGAUUUGUCCUUCAAUCUUGCAAAUGCCCAAUUAAAAGAUUAUUAUUGUCAAUAAAGCCUUGGAGCUACCUUUGUAA
rnacentral:lncRNA from 10 species